rnacentral:rRNA from 1 species
UCCGUAGGCGGUUUGAUAAGUCAGAGGUGAAAUCCCACAGCUUAACUGUGGAACUGCCUUUGAAACUGUUAGUCUUGAGUUAUAUGGAAGUAGAUAGAAUGUGUAGUGUAGCGGUGAAAUGCAUAGAGAUUACACAGAAUACCGAUUGCGAAGGCAGUCUACUACGUAUAUACUGACGCUAAUGGACGAAAGCGUGGGGAGCGAACAGGAUUAGAUACCCUGGUAGUCC